GUGUAAGUAUGAACAAAUUCAGACUGUGAAACUGCGAAUGGCUCAUUAAAUCAGUUAUAGUUUGUUUGAUGGUAUCUACUACUCGGAUAACCGUAGUAAUUCUAGAGAUAAUACGUGCAACAAACCCCGACUUCUGGAAGGGAUGCAGUUUAUUAGAUAAAAGGUCGACGCGGGCUCUGCCCGUUGCUGCGAUGAUUCAUGAUAACUCGACGGAUCGCACGGCCAUCGUGCCGGCGACGCAUCAUUCAAAUUUCUGCCCUAUCAACUUUCGGAUGGUAGGAUAGUGGCCUACCAUGGUGGUGACGGGUGACGGAGAAUUAGGGUUCNNNNNNNNNN
rnacentral:ncRNA from 1 species